AUCAAACAGAGCCAAAGUCUUAAACCCUGGCGGAACCUACAAAACCCUCGCGGCAAUUUCUACAGUAUCUGUUUCGAAACAGAGAAAGGGAUGGCUUUGCGCAGUGGAUCGAUUGGGAGGUCGUUGAUCUCUACGGCUAGAGCUUCCUCACUUCGGUCACCACCGCCGCUACCACGCCUCCGUCCUCCACCACUCGCUUCUCCUCGCCGAACCUCUUUCCCCACCACCAGGACUAUGAGAGAGUUAGGAUGCAUGGAAUCGCUUAUGCCGCUGCACAGCGUGGUCGCUGCCGCCCGCCUCACUUCGCACCUCGCUGUCAACGCGCGUGCGUGCUGUGAGCUGUCUCAGGGAUGGAGUGGAGAAGAUGUGUGAUUCGCGAGGCUGUCAUGCAUCGGAAGGCGGGGGCAGUAAUGCCGCAUUGUAGGUACUUGAAUUGGUGUGGCUGUCUGAUCUGCACAGUGAGUUCUAAUAUGCUUUUGGGCAGUAAAAUAGAUUGUUAUAACACAUGGAAGCUUCUCCUUUGGAGUCUAUGAUAUUAGUGAGUUUGUGAACCUUCUCAUGGGGGAAAAAAACUUGGGAACUUCCUAUUUUCCUUUAUGGUUUGGGAACCAGCAAGCAUUUCUAGGUGAACCAUUCUGUGUUCAUGGCAUUCUCAUUUUCAGUAUUAUUGUUUUCGCAAUUUCCCUUCUACUCUGUUGUGUUAUAAUGUUUAUUGCAUUAAUGCUUC